UACGUAGGGUCCAAGCGUUGUCCGGAAUUACUGGGUAUAAAGGGUGCGCAGGCGGAUCUGUGCGUCAGAGGUUAAAGACCCGGGCUCAACCCGGGAAGUGCCUUUGAUACGGCAGGUCUUGAGUGUGAGAGAGGAUAGUAGAAUUCCUGGUGUAGCGGUGAAAUGCGUAGAUAUCAGGAGGAAUACCAGUGGCGAAGGCGGCUAUCUGGCUCAUAACUGACGCUUAGGCACGAAAGCGUGGGGAUCAAACAGGAUUAGAUACCCUGGUAGUCCACGCCCUAAACGAUGUAUGCUUGGUGUUAGGCUCUUAGAGCUUAGUGCCGGAGAAAAUUCGUUAAGCAUACCACCUGGGGAGUACGAUCGCAAGGUUGAA
rnacentral:rRNA from 1 species